GAUAAAUAUUUUCAAGGGGUGGGGCCCGAGACACGAAUCUGAGUCCUCCAGAGUGGAAAGCCGAAGCGUUUCCACGAAGCAAAUCCAGCCUACAUGCAUAAUUUGGAAAAGAAAUGCCGCUAUUUUGACGAAGUAAUUAACUGUAAACGUUUUCAGACAAGAACGAUAAUUUAUGAUGCAAUUCUGUUUAUUUUCUCCAAAUUUUGGGCUCCCCUAUAUCAGCCUGCAGUGCGUUGCAUCCACCUCUUAUCUGCACAACGUGCCUGCCACAAACUGAACGUGUUUCCAAUCUUCAUUGAAAUGUCUGCAGAAAGAUUUCUUUGAUAGGAAAAUUAUUCUAUAAAUUAUUUCACACAUUUAUUGAAAUGUUAUAUUAUCAUGCAUCUAAUUGAAUCACGACUCGUAUGAAAUGUUUAAGA
rnacentral:lncRNA from 1 species